rnacentral:rRNA from 1 species
UACGAAGGGGGCUAGCGUUGUUCGGAAUCACUGGGCGUAAAGCGCACGUAGGCGGAUUUUUAAGUCAGAGGUGAAAUGCCAGGGCUCAACCUUGGAACUGCCUUUGAUACUGGGGAUCUGGAGUCCGGGAGAGGUGAGUGGAACUGCGAGUGUAGAGGUGAAAUUCGUAGAUAUUCGCAAGAACACCAGUGGCGAAGGCGACUACCCUGGCCUGUUCUUGACGCUGAGGCGCGAA